rnacentral:rRNA from 1 species
GAGUUUGUAUCCUGGCUCAGGACGAACGCUGGCGGCGUGCUUAACACAUGCAAGUCGAGCGGUGACCCUCCUUCGGGAGGUGAUCAGCGGCGAACGGGUGAGUAACACGUGGGCAACCUGCCCCUAACACUGGGAUAACCUCGGGAAACCGGGGCUAAUACCGGAUACGACCUCGAGCGGCAUCUCUUGAGGUGGAAAGCUCCGACGGUUAGGGAUGGGCCCGCGGCCUAUCAGCUUGUUGGUGGGGUAAUGGCCUACCAAGGCGACGACGGGUAG